UCUGUUUUUUAAUAGCCUAGGGGGAAAUGAAAUCCCAAAAACUUAAACACCCCGCCUAUGCAUAUCCUUCUUCACCUUCUAAAAUUCUCUACCAAAAAACCCUACUAAUCCUUUAAGCAGUCUCUCUCUCUCUCUCUCUCUCUCUCUCUCUCUCUCUCUCUCUCUCUCUGAGCAUCGAACCUCAUAAGCUUUAAGAGUUCGAAGUGCAUAAGCAAACACUUCUGCCAUCUCAAGAUGUCGGUUCAAGAUCGGAACGCCACAUCGCUGUACACGAUGUCAUCAUCGUCUCUAUAAACCGCUGUCAACGGCGGAGAAAACGAAUGCAAUUGGGUCUGGGACGAAAUCAAAGCCGAAGCUCGCCGCGACGCCGAAUCUGAACCAUCCCUCGCCAGUUACCUCUACUCUACCAUCAUCUCCCAACUCAUCUCUCACACGCUCUCUCUCUCUCUCUCUCUCUCUCUCCAUUUAGGAAACAAACUCUGCUCCUCCACUCUCCUCUCCACCCUCCUCUACGAUCUUUUCCUCAACACCUUCUCCUCCGACCCAUCUCUCCUCUCCGCCACCGUCGCCGACCUACGCGCCGCCCGUCAACGAGACCCUGCCUGCAUCUCCUUCGCUACAAUAGGGAUUGUGGGAAACAAGUUUAUUUAGGCGGAUUUGACACUGGCUGCAGCUAGAGCCUAUGAUCGAGCUGCCAUCAAGUUCAGGGGAAUUGAUGCAGAUAUCAAUUUUCAUAUAAAGGAAUAUGAGGCAGAUAUGACACAGGUAAAGAAUUUGUCAAAAGAAGAAUUUAUUCAUAUACUUCGCAGACAGAGCACAGGAUUCUCACGAGGAAGUUCAAAAUACCGAGGAGUAACCCUCCAUAAAUGUGGGAGAUGGGAGGCUGACGCAUCCUGGAAAAAAGUAAGUUAAAGCAGCCAUUAGAUACAAAUACAUACUUGAUGACUUGAUGUAGGUGUGUAGUAUACUUUUUGGAUUAAGUUGUUUAAAUACAAUGUCAUAGCGAGUAAAUGAAAGCAAUUAGGACACCUUUUUGUUUAUCUACUAGAUUACAAUCAUUGGUUUGCAGGUAUGUUUACCUUGGAUUAUUCAACAACGAAGUAGAAGCUGCAAGGUUGUUGUAAUUUUAUAAUUGACAGUUAACAUGUUAACCCAUCCAUAUGAACGAAGGCAUCAUUCAGCAACAUUUGCAAUUUAUGUUGUCUGAAUUCAGGGCUUAUGACAAAGCUGCCAUUAAAUGUAAUGGCAAGGAAGCUGUCACCAACUUUGAGCCAAGCAUCUAUGGAGCCGAUAUAAGCUUGGAACCCAUGGAUGAAGAAGGUAGCGGUCACAAUCUCGAUCACAACCUCGAGAUUUAUCCCACUAAAGAUAGUCUGGGGGCCAAUUUACAGGCACAGGCUCAAGCACAAGCUCCGUUAUGGCCUAGUAACAUUUACUAUGGUUUUACACCAAACAAUGAGGUAAUUAUUUUUAUAGGUUGUUCCCUAUGUUAUAUAUAACAUAAGAUUAAGAAAAGUAAAUAAAUUUAUUAAUUAUUCAAGUCUUUACUAAUUUCUUUUUCCUAAAACAAGCCAUCAAUGCUUCUCUUUAGUUUCUCUAUUAUAUUAGUGGCGACACUCAUAGAAGAGUAUUUUAUCUGAAUUCACAUUCUUGUAAACCAUCUUAUUACAACAUAAACUAGGUAGAGCUAGUGCAAAGUACCAAAUCUAAAAAAAGAAGUCAACUCAGGGUCAAAACUCACUGAACUCUGUCUCUUACAUGGAGACAGCUAGCGUUAAGUUGCUGUUGUGGUUAAUUUUCCUUUCUUUUGUGGAAAUUCAUGUGCACCUUCAUGGUCAUGAGUAUGACUAGAAGUACUACUAGCUAUGCCUCUGUUAUCUUUAUCUGUUAAAUAGGUUGUUGUUGCUGCCCUACUAACGCCAUGUGAGGAGGCUACUUCCUCAAAGUUGAAAUCGGGAAAAACUCCACAUCCGCGAGUAUUCAAGGUUUUAUCUGAAAAACUCCCAACAUGUACUAUGGUUUUAUCUGAAAUCCCAAACAUGUCACCAACCAACCAACCGACUAAAAUUUUCUUUUCAGGAAAAAGUGAUAGGAAGUAAAGAGCCUGAAGAGGAUGCUCAAGUUCAGAUGCACAAUGUAAAAGAUGCACAGAGAAAAAAGUGCGAUUGAUAGAAGUUUACUUGAGUUGAACGAUAUUUGAGGUAUAUGUUUGUUGAAAGAAGUUUACUUGAGGUCAUUACCAAGGCCUGAAAAACAGGAGUGACGCAGGUAACUUUUCUUCAUUUUUUCUGUUAGGGAGGAGGGAGUCAUUUCCUCCCAACCUAUUCUACAGCCACAUCACUUUUUCUCUUUUAUUUUUCUUCAUCUUUCCUAACCCAUAACACACGGAAACCCUAUCUUUUUGAACCCACUCAACCCAUUCAAUUAAAAAAAAUACAAAACAAUCAAAUGUAAAAUCUUAAUUAGCAAUAGAGUUAUCGGCAAUACCACUCUCGCUUCAACGAGUGGAUUGAUUGGUUUCACUAACCCACUUCAUCAUCUCUCUCUACUUUCUCUUUCUUAUUUUCUCUUGUAUCAUGUGUUUUAAAACUUGUACCUUAGUUGUUUUGUAUUUUUUUUAAUUGAGUGAGUUGAAUGGGUUCAAAAAGAUAGAAUUUCCGUGUGUUGUGGGUUGGGAAAGAUGAAGAAAAAGAAGAGAUAAAAAUUGAUGUGGCAGUGGGUUCGGUGGGUUGGGAGGGAAUGACUCCCUCCUCCCUUAGGUUGUGUUUGGUAUGAUCAUGAUGGAAUUGGAAAAUUAAUGAAAUGGUUUGUACCAUUUGAAUGGAAUAAGCCAGUUCUUUUACUUGAUGGAAUGAAAUGUUUGUUUUUGAACAAAUCUGAUUCUUUUCAUUCCUUAGCCAAGGGGGUGUUUUUUUUUUUUUCUUUUCUCUUUUUUUUUUAUCAAGGAAUGGAAUGAAGAUUUUAAAGUAACCAAAUGUUUAUUUGUAAAUUUUCAUAAUAGCAAGUCUCUUAAAAAAAUUAUAGAUUUUAUUCAAGUCAAAUUCAUUUUCUAAAAAAUAACUACAAAUGAAGUUUUUUAUUCUAAUAUUAUUAGGGUCAAUAAAAAAAAUGAAUUAAUCGCUAUAUUAAAAAAUUGGUAGGGUCCUGUAACAUAAUGGAGCAGGUCCAACUCCCAGCGGAUCCUAAAACGAGUCAUUGUAAAGUUUUCAGGUUCAUUUAGGUUUGUUUUUUAAUUUCAAUUUUUCUUUCUUAAUUGCUCUCUUGUUCAUAAUUAUGAACAUAUAACUCAUUUAUUUUAUUAUUUUUUAUAGUUUGCUCAACUUGAGAAAUGGGUUCUUCUAAAAUGAUGACACAUCUGAACAUGUUUGUUUUUUAAAAUAUUGGUGGGAUUAUUGUUGACCACAUGGUAACAAAGAGAAUCUUAAUUGUGACAAAUACAAGUAAGGUUUUGAAUAUUGUAGGGUUUUUGGUGUCUGCAGUGUCAUUAAUGUUACUUCCUCUUUUUAGAACAUCUGAAAGGGUGAUACUUUGUUCUUCAGUGGCUCUUGAUUUUCUUGCAUUAGGAAGAGCUGGAUUUGCAAUGAAUCAUAUGGAUAUUACUCCUAGAUAUGCUGGAAAUGUGAUGGGUGUCUCGAAUACACUUGGCACUUUAGCUGGUAUUGUUGGAGUUGAGCUUACUAUGCAGCUUCUAGAAGCUGCAAAAACCAUGAAUUUGGAUAUUUCUAGUCCUGAUAGUCGGAUGGCAGUUUUUCUUAUAUCAGGAUUACUCUGAUAGCUGGAUGGCCUCUCUCUCUCUCUCUCUCUCUCUCUCUCUCUCUGGAAGUGUAUCAUCCUUUAAUUCGUUGUUAUGUUUUGUAUUUCAUUCAGUAGGUAGAGACUAGUGACUAGUUUUUCUUUCUCUCUUAAGGACUUUUUUGUCUUCUCAAAUUACCACAUUAUCUAUCCUUAGGACAUUGUCAAUUUAAGAGAGGUAUGCAAGUUUAUGGGUGCUUCAAAGUUAUCCUUUUGUCCAGAGUAUGUCCAAGCUUAAUUUUAAUAUUUUAUAGAGGUAUUUGUAUUAAAUUGCUUGAAUGACAAUUAGCAAAAUGUAUUUUACUAUUUCACUCUUUCAUAUUAACUUUAUAAUCCAACAUGUGUAUUAAAUUUUAAUAUUUUAUACAGGUAUUGGCUGUAUUGAAGCCUGGAUUCUUGGUAAAAGGUAUCAUGUGGAAAUAGAAGCAUAACAAUAAGAAGUAAAAACAAGAAGGUGUCCUUUAAUAGCAAUGUAGUAUUAGGUUAUAUAGUUAGGGAAAACCUCUUAAUAACAAUGUACAAUUAGAUCCCCUUAAUAUCAAUGUAUUACAAUUUUUUGACAUGAUGUUAUUGGAUGAAAUUGAUAGUUUUGGUAUA